AGUGAACGCUGGCGGUAGGCCUAAUACAUGCAAGUCGAACGGAAGCACAGUAAGAGUUUGCCCUUACGGGUGGCGGCGGGCGGGCGGGUGAGAAAUAGAUAGGAUUCCUAUUUUACGUGGGGGACAUCGUGAAGCAGGAUACAAUACCGCAGAAUAUGUUGAACGGCAUGGAGCAGGAGUGCAAGGCAGUCUUGCUGUCAGUUUGAGAUGGUGCCGCAUUAGCUAGUUGGCGAGGUAAAGGCCUACCAAGGCAACGAUACGUAGCUGAUCUGAGAGGAUGAUCAGCCACACUGGAACUGAGACACGGUCCAGACUCCUACGGGAGGCAGCAGUAGGGAAUAUUGCGCAAUGGGCGCAAGCCUGACCCAGCCAUGCCGCGUGAGUGAAGAAGGCCUUCGGAUUGUAAAACCCUGUUGUUGGGAAAGAAAAUCAGCAUAAUUAACCCCCGCCAUUCUGACGGUACCUAAAGAGUAAGCACCGGCUAACUUCGUG
rnacentral:rRNA from 1 species